GCCUGGGUAGCUCAGUCGGUUGAGCAUCCGAUUUCAGCUCAGGUCAUGAUCUCGCGGUCUGUGGGUUCGAGCCCCAUGUCAGGCU
rfam:Felis catus isolate Cinnamon breed Abyssinian chromosome A3, whole genome shotgun sequence.